rnacentral:rRNA from 1 species
UGGGGAAUUUUGGACAAUGGGCGAAAGCCUGAUCCAGCAAUGCCGCGUGUGUGAAGAAGGCCUUCGGGUUGUAAAGCACUUUUGUCCGGAAAGAAAUCCUUGGCUCUAAUACAGUCGGGGGAUGACGGUACCGGAAGAAUAAGCACCGGCUAACUACGUGCCAGCAGCCGCGGUAAUACGUAGGGUGCAAGCGUUAAUCGGAAUUACUGGGCGUAAAGCGUGCGCAGGCGGUUUGCUAAGACCGAUGUGAAAUCCCCGGGCUCAACCUGGGAACUGCAUUGGUGACUGGCAGGCUAGAGUAUGGCAGAGGGGGGUAGAAUUCCACGUGUAGCAGUGAAAUGCGUAGAGAUGUGGAGGAAUACCGAUGGCGAAGGCAGCCCCCUGGGCCAAUACUGACGCUCAUGCACGAAAGCGUGGGGAGCAAAACAGGAUUAGAUACCCUGGUAGUCCACGCCCUAAACGAUGUCAACUAGUUGUUGGGGAUUCAUUUCCUUAGUAACGUAGCUAACACGUGAAGUUGACCGCCUGGGGAGUACGGUCGCAAGAUUAAAACUCAAAGGAAUUGACGGGGUCAUAGCUGUUUCCU